UAGUGCCAUGUUGUUAAACGAAAACCUACGCUAGCCUGGCUCGCUCUCGCGCAUCUUUGUUCGCGCUCGUGCAUGAUUGCGCGUCCAGGUACUUGGAAUGGGUGGAGUCAGAGUCAGCGUUGAAGGGGAGGGGGUAGGACCAUUUGAGUUGUGUAUUUUCAAAAUCUGCUGGCGUUUCGCAAAUCGCGUACCCAACCUUUAAGGUUCUGUAAUGUAACCAUUUCAAUACGGUUCUGUAGCCCAUGGUUCUUUUCCCGGUCCGUUUUAUAGGUUAGUUAUGGUCACACCAACCCUGUCGGAAUAACACAGAGGUUGUGCUAACACGUGGCCUAGGCCUCAAGCUACUUUGACGCAACUGCCAAGAUAAGCACAGCGAGGGAAGUCUAGCAUAAAAUAUUCCAUGUAUUGUUAUAACGUUGUUGCAAGCUAGCAGCAGCAUAGCUCAGUUUCGCGAUCGCUUUGAAGUGACGAUUUCCUUCUGUGUUAUUUUAACAAAUAUAUAUAUUUUUUAAAUUCCGAUAACGUUUUUCUUUGUUGACCAAUCACUGUUGUGCUUCACCUGUUUUGGCAGUUAUGAGAACCUCACAUCCCCUACUUCAUCCACACCAUGCAAGCGCAGGAGAAACCUGCCUCUUCCCCCAGCUUCAAGCAUACAUUCAGAGACACUCUUAGACAGGUGAUCACUACCCCACCACCGUUCAUUUCCAAAUUAUGAAAUUGUGUACAUUUAUUUUCAGCUUCCACCUUUAUAGAAGACAAUAUAGCCUCAUAACUAAUUUCAAAGAUCUUUAUUUCAUAACACUAUUUAUAUUCUCAGAGCCGAUGACUUCUUGGAUGCUGAAGAUGUAGAGGACACCAAUCCUGCCACUACCUUUCAAAGUAUGGAUACAAGUAUUUCUCCACAGGUAAAUGACAUUGAAGUCAUAACUGAAGAAGAAUUUAAUGACAUCCGGAACUCUACAAUUGGCUGGGCCGAUAACACCUGGGAAGAUGACAGUGGAGAAGAUGACAGUUGGUACCCAGAAAUGGAGAUGGACACUGGGUCAUCUUCAGAGGAGGAAGAAAUGAUGGGGGAAGACAGCGAAUGCAGUGAUGACAGUGACAUCGAUUACGUGCCUUAUCUCUGUGUGCGGACUGGUGGAGCUCUCCAAAAGAGCAAAUGGCUGGACACAUUACCAGCUGUUGGUCUGGAGGAGACUGUUCAUGACCUUGAUGAUGGACACAAUUCCUCAGAAGCGAUACCACCGCUACCAGAGAAGAGCCAAGUCCUCUGCAAGGAAGAUAUAAUUGGACAACCAGCUUCCAUUGUCUACCAUAGCUGUCUUAAACAGCUGGCUCAGUAUCUUGUCUUACCAAUCCCCAAGUGCAACACAAAGGACCCAGUAACUGAUGCUGAAUGUGGAGCACUUAGACCAUUUGAGGUGAAAAUAACUUCCAGGGGCACAUCAGUUGUCGUGGAAUGGAUAUGUCAUCAGGGUCACAGUGUCUGGAGGUGGAACUCCCAGCCCACUCUAAAAUAUGGGAUGCAUGCAGGUGACUUCAUGUUGUCCUCGAACAUCCUCCUCUCUGGGAACAACUACGGGAAGGUGGCUCUGCUGUUCAAAUUCAUGAACUUGGGAAUAGUACAUAGAACAACAUUCUUUAAAAUCCAGGACGCCUACUGCGUUGACGCCAUCGAGGACUACUGGGAUGACAAGAGGUCAGCCAUUAUUACCUGGCUGAAAUCAAAGGACAGUGUAGUGGCCCUUGGUGACGGUCGUAUGGAUAGUCCUGGGUUUUCAGCACAGUACUGUACAUACACAACGAUGGACAACGACAGUAAAGAGAUCAUAUCAAUUGUCAAUAUUGAUAAGAGGGAGACCCAGAAGAAUUCGGUUAUCAUGGAGAAGGAGGCUUUCAUCCGGACCUUUGAGACUCUCCACAAAGAGAUUCGCCUACAGGAGUUUUGCACUGAUGCUCAUUCACAGAUCUCGGCGCUCUUCAAUCCAACAAAAGGCAGGUUCAAGGACUCUGGUGUUCGACACACCCUUGACAUCUGGCAUGGGUCAAAGAACUUGGGUAAAAAAAUCCAUGCAGCAGGCCUUCGGAAAGGAUGUUCAAUUCUCCUUACCUGGAGUAAGGAGAUAUGCAACCAUUUCUGGUAUUGCUGUAAGACUGCACAGAACAUUGAUCAGGUGUAAGUAUUGGUCUGUUUUGGAUUUCACUUUGCGAUUCCUGACCAUUUAUUACAUUUUGAUUUUAUUGAUAAAUUGACUUUGGUUAUUUUAUUUUAUAUUUAUUUUAAAAACUUGUACUAGCAUUUAUAUAAUGACAAAAUAGGUAUUAUUUAUUGUGUAAAAAAAAAACACAAUAAGAAAUGAUGCAGUUCUGUUCUACUGUAGGAUAUGUGGACAGGUCUUCUCCACCAUGUUCAAGGAGAGCAUGAGUGGGCCCUAUCUUGCUUUAGCCCACCUGUUUACAAGGCUCGCACCCUCUUAGCAGCGUUGGACUAUAACCAUCAUGUUCACAGACCGGUGAAGAGGAAGGCUGAUGGCUCAAUAGAGUACUGCAAGCUCUACAAUAAAAAGUCAAAGACUUGGAGUCUAUACACAGUGAAGGUGGAGAAGGACUACGGAUACAUGGCAGACCUGCAGAGUGCUAUCCUAGAAGCCCGGCUGACAUCAGACAAGGGUUUGCCAAAGACCAGAAAAAAAAGGCCUAAUGACCCACGGCAAUAUGGGGUUCUUGCAAGCAUCCCACCUCCCACCACCCAGGACCUGUUGCAAACCCAAUUCCACAGAGGAGUAGGGCAAGGAAUGCAGUAAGAGACCUAGAAGAGAUUGGAGGUCCCAUACCAACUAAACUGGAGCUGACUGUAGGCUGCUGGGGGCUGUUUGGAAUAGUAUUACGCUGCUCACUUUUUGAUAUUUGUAAAUAUUCGAUUUAUUAGAUCUAAAUGUCCUUCACAGUUUUGUAUUAUUUACACUUGGUUCUUAUAAAAUAUAUUAAAAAAAAUAGGAUUUUGUAUAUAGUUUUCUAUGAUCAAUUUGUUUAUAAUUGACAUAUUUUCAAUGCAGUUGCACGAUUGUUCUGCUAAAAAGGCAUUUUGUUAUUUACAUUUACAUUUUACAUUUAGGGCAUUUAGCAGACGCUUUUAUCCAAAGCGACUUACAAUAAGUACAUUUGUCAUAAGAAGUGCAUCAAUAUAUCGCUGUCGGUACAGAAAGGAUGUUCAUAGAACCAAGUGCAAGUACCACAAGUAGUGUUAUGUAGUGCUUUUAUACUUAUUUAGAAUUUGCACUUGUGCUGCAUGUAGUCAUCGAAGGCCAGGGUGUUCCUGUGUGUGUGUUAUUAUCUUAUUGUUUUAUUAUUUAUUAAAAAAGCUUUUUACCGCACCUGCCCUCAUCAUUUAUCCAGCAUUACACCUGCUGAAUGUGCAUUGUUAUUAUGAUAUGCUACAGUUAUUUUGAUGUCUGCUGUAACCGACAAUGAAAAGAUGGGUCAUAAAAACAGGAAAUUGAACAUGUAUUUUUUAAACACUUUUUAAUGAUGCUUAAAGUCUCCUUGUGAGGAAGCCAACAUAUUGUCAAAGUGGGUGUGGGUACUUGUCCCGUAUCCUCCAGACACAACAACUAGGGAUGACGACCCUGUGUCCCCGAGCCAGUGCUCCGUAUUGCCAAACAACAAACUGCCUAUAGGCGGCAAACCUAAAUUGUUUGUUGUCCUCCCCUGGGUCUGGACGGUCAGCCACAGCACAGACGUCAUUCCAGAUCCUCCUGGCCAGCCGCAGAACCCCCCCCUGCAUUAUGUAUGCGUCCAUGUGAGGCAGCAUGGAGACACAGGAGUCCAGGAGUUGUCCACAGCAUUUCCUCUCUAGAUCCGUAGGCAUCUCC